AACAAACGCUGGCGGCGUGCCUAACACAUGCAAGUCGUACGAGAAAGUUGGCUUCGGCCGAUGAGUAAAGUGGCGCACGGGUGAGUAAUGCGUGGAUAAUCUGCCCUUUAGUUGGGAAUAACGUACCGAAAGGUGCGCUAAUACCUGAUAAUACUGCAUAACUACUGUUGUGUAGUCAAAGAAGGCCUCUGUUUACAAGCUUUUGCUGAAGGAUGAGUCCGCGUACCAUUAGCUGGUUGGUGGGGUAAUGGCCUACCAAGGCUACGAUGGUUAGCUGGUCUGAGAGGAUGAUCAGCCACACUGGAACUGAGACACGGUCCAGACUCCUACGGGAGGCAGCAGUGAGGAAUAUUGCGCAAUGGGGAAACCCUGACGCAGCGACGCCGCGUGAAGAAGAAGGCCUGGUGUAACUACUUGACCGGGACGAACGAAUGACGGUACCGGGAACGAAGCCGACGGCUAACUAACGUGCCAGCAGCCGCGGUAAACGUCUA
rnacentral:rRNA from 1 species